UCCGAUAUGGUGUAGUGGCUAACAUUAUCGCCUCUCAUCAACGUGAACGCGAUAGCCCGGGGUUCAAUUCCCCGUGUCGGAA
rfam:Phlebia centrifuga strain FBCC195 PHLCENscaffold_2464, whole genome shotgun sequence.